rnacentral:tRNA from 1 species
GGGGGUAUAGCUCAGUGGUGGAGCGCAUACUGACCAUGUAUGAGGUCCUGGGUUCGAUCCCCAUACCUCCC